rnacentral:rRNA from 1 species
UACGGAGGGUGCGAGCGUUGUCCGGAAUCACUGGGCGUAAAGGGCGCGUAGGCGGCAUGCCAAGCGUGUGGUGAAAGCCCGGGGCUCAACCCCGGGUCGGCCGUGCGGACUGGCGUGCUCGAGCACUGUAGGGGCGGGUGGAAUCCGGGUGUAGCGGUGGAAUGCGUAGAGAGUCCGGAAGAACACCGGUGGCGAAGGCGGCCCGCUGGGCAGGAAGGCUCGCAAGAGCCGGCUGACGCUGAGGCGCGACAGCGUGGGGGAGCAAACAGGG